AUCUUCCGUCAAGAAAAGAAUAAGAGGCCAAAACGCAGGAUGUUGGAAUUUCACUUCAUUGCCCUCCAUAUAAAAGCAACCCGCUCCCACUUUUCUUCCUCUUCUGCAAUCCUCAGCUUUCUUUGUGUCUCCAGUACUCUCCUCUCUCUUAGGUUGGAUAGCAUUAAUGCUUACUGCGAGUUGAAGCCAGACUCUAUUGCACCAUGGGUUUUGAUAAUGAGUGCAUACUGAACAUUCAAUCUCUGGCUGGAGAAUAUUUCUGUCCUGUUUGCCGUCUGCUAGUCUAUCCAAAUGAAGCAUUACAGUCCUUGUGUACCCACCUAUACUGUAAGCCAUGUUUAACAUAUAUUGUGAGCACUACCAGGGCUUGCCCCUAUGAUGGCUACUUGGUGACAGAAGCAGAUUCCAAGCCUCUUAUUGAAUCAAACAAAGCUCUAGCUGAAACCAUUGGCAAGAUAACAGUUCAUUGUCUAUACCAUAGAAGUGGAUGCACUUGGCAGGGUCCUUUAUCUGAGUGUACUUCUCAUUGUUCUGGAUGUGCCUUUGGUAAUUCUCCUGUUGUAUGUAACCGGUGUGGUAUUCAAAUUGUGCAUCGUCAAGUGCAGGAACAUGCACAAAAUUGUCCUGGUGUGCAGUCUCAAGCUCAGUCGGAUGCUGCCCAGGAUGCUACAGCCACAGGGACAACACCUGUUAGCACCCAGGUUGCUGCUCAGGCAGGAACUACUACCACUCAGGAUCAGACAUCUCAAACCACAGCAACCCCAUUACCUGUACAAGAUCCCAACCAGCAAGCCAACCAAACUUCACAGCCCCAGUCUGUAGUGCAGGCUACUGUGCCCACAGCAGAACAGUGGUAUCAACAGCAGCAACAAUAUCAACAGUACUACCAACAAUAUCCUGGAUAUGAUCCUUAUCAACAGCAUUAUCAGCAAUACUACCCUUAUCAACAGCAAGCAGUUCCGCAAUAUCCACAACCUCAGGUUUAUCUGCAGCCUCAGUUCCCUCAACAGCAAGUUCAACCUCAGACUCAGCUGCAAACACAAUCUCUGUCAAAUCCACAUGUUCAGGCGCCUGCUGCUGCUGCUGCUCAGCCCCAGAACCAGCCACAAGUCAAUCUGCAGCAACAAACUCACACUGUUCAGCCACAGUCUCAAAUACAAUCACAGAUUAACCCACCACCCCAUGGCCAACCACAAUCUCAGGCUCAGCAGCACCCACAAACCCACCCUGUUCAGCAUCAUCUUCAACAUGUACAAAUGCCUCAAAAUCCGCGGCCUCAUUCGCAGAUUCAGCAUCCGCAACCCCAAGUUCAGGCACUGGCUCAUUCUCAGCUUCAUCCUCAGUAUCCUGUUCCUCAACCUCGAAAUCAUUCACAAGGUCUGCCUCAGACACAUGCUCAACAUCCUUCGCAGCCUGUUCCACAAGCCUUUACUUCUCAACCAAACCAGCCAUUGAAUCCUCAUCUCCAGCCUCAGCUACAACAUUCAUCAGCCCAUGCAGUGACAGGCCAUAACUCUUAUACCCAACCACAGUCUCAACAGCAAAUGCAGCUGGGAGGUCUGCAACAUCCUGCACAUUUGUAUCCUCAAGGUGGGCCUCAACCACAAUCACAUCUCGUUCAAAUGCAGAGUCAGUUCCCUCAACAACCUCCUUUGUUACGUCCACCACAAUCUCAUGGUCCAAUUCAAAACCCUCAACAGCCUGGUUUGUUACCUUCACCUGGUCAAGUCCCUAAUGUGCCUCCUGUACAGCAGCAACCAGUGCAUUCCCAUGCUCAACAACCUGGACUUCCUCAUCAACACCUUGUUAUGCAGUCAGUUCAGCAACAAGUCCAUCAGCAGUAUGUGCAGCAGCAGCCAUUUUCUGGACAAGCGCCAGUGCCAGUUCAGAAUCAGGUGCCUCAGCAAGGUGCUUACACGCAGCAACAAUUGCAUGUGCAUUCUCAAAUACGUCCCCAGGGGCUGCCCCCAUCAUUCCAGCAACCUUCUAAUGCCUAUCCACUGCCUCAGCAGCAUUUUGCAUUACUGCAUGGCACGCAAUCCCAUCAAGCCCAAACUCUUGGUGGAAGGCCUAUGGUGCCACCUCUUGGAGUGCCAACUCAGCCACAUCCUCACUCAUCUGCUCUCAUGCAGGUAAAGCCAAUGGAGGUUGGUGCAGGUCAAUCAGGAAUUGCACUAAGGACCAACAACCAAGAUCAAUCGCCUUCUGAGCUACAGUCUGGGCCUAUUUCAAGACCAAUGUCUGAGAAACAAGGGGAUCACACUAUUGAGAAAAGUUCAGAAGCUGAAUCUACUCAUAAAAAUGUUAAAAGGGAUCCUGAUGAUUUGGAUGUUGCUUCUGGUGUUGUGGCUGAUGUAGGCGCGGUAAAGACUGUAAAAUCUGAAUGCUAUUUGAAGCCAGUGGAUGCUGACAAUAAACCCAUGGGUAAUGUCAAGGAUAUAUCAGAAUCUCAUGGAGCUGAGAAUGGAGAGUAUUUGAUUAAGCAGGUAAAGAAAGAGCCUAGAGAGGCUAGUAAUGACCAGAAAGAUGGUUCUAAUACCGACCAUAAAAGGGUUGAACAUUCUGUUGUGUCAGAAGACAAGGAAAUGAAAAGUGGGCCUCUGUUGAAAACUCCUCCAUUGCAGGAAGGUGAACACCUUGAAGACCAUAGUAUGAAAUCACAGGACUUGAACAUGACUCCACAAUGUUCUGGAGGCUUUACUCUGCACGGGCAGGUGCAAGGUGAGGGCUUGGUACAACCCUCUCAUUUGGUUCCCAUUGCUGAGCAGGGAAAGCAGCAGCCUCCUUUAAUUCCUCAUGGGCCUUCUGUCCUUCAACAAAGGCCUGUUGGAUCCCCAUUGUUACAAGCACCUCCUCCUGGACCCCCACAUCACAUGCAAUUACCUGGGCAUCCAUCCGCCCCAUCUAGGUCUUUGGGUUCUGGGCAUAUGUCUCAUACUGGACAACCUUUGAAUCCACUCCAUGAACAUCUCCAGCAACCUCUGUACAAGCAGUCUCAUGGUCCUGAAGUCUCUCCUAUUGGCAUUGCUGGCUUGGGCUCUACUUCAAUCUUUGGGAGGGGUCCAAGUCAUUAUGGUCCACAGGGACCUUCUACUCAAGGUCAUGGACUCCCUUUGGAAGGUGAAAGAACAUCAUUAUAUGGCCAUGAAUCUGACAUGUUUCCAAAUCAGAGGCCCAAUUAUACAGAUGGCAGAAGACUAGAUCCAUUUGGGAAACAAUCUGGCAUGCACACAAAUGCGAUGAGAUUGAAUGGUGCCCCAGGGCCAGACUCCUUAGGAAGUGGAUCACGGGAUGAUCGGUUCAGGCCUUUGCUAGAUGAGCAUAUGAAUCCCUUUCCACAGGAUCCAGGCCGAAUUGUUGAUCAGGCAGAGUUUGAAGAAGAUGCCAAGCAUUUCCCCAGGCCUUCUCAUUUGGACACUGAAUCUGUUCAAAAAUAUGGAAGUCAAUUUCCCCCUUCAAGACCUCUUGAUAGGGUACCUCAUAAUUUUGGUAUGAAUUUACCCCUGAAAACUCUUGACCAGGGACCACAUGGUAUGAAUUAUGAUUCGGGGAUGAAAUUGGAACCCUUGGGUGGCUCUGCACCCCCAAAGUUCUUUCCUAAUCAUCAUGAUGGUUUAAUGCAUCCCAAUGAUAUAGGAGAAAGGCCAGUUCUUUUUCUUGACAAGACUGCAGGCAGGCAGCCAGAUACUGCUCAAACCCAACCAGAUCUUUUUGGACCAGUUCCUAGAUAUGGUCGUCGUCAUAUGGAUGGUUUGGCUACUAGAAGUCCAGGUAGAGAUUAUCCUGGUGUAUCCUCACAUGGAGUUGGAGCCUUUCCUGGACUUGAUGAUAUUGCUGGCAGGGAAUCACGACGAUUUGGUGAUUCAUUUCAUAAUAAUAGGUUUCCAGCUUUACCCAGCCAUUUACGCAGGGGCCAGUUUGAGGGUCCUGGUCAAGAUGGAUUUCCCAAUCAUUUGCGAAGGGGUGAGCAUAUGCUUAUGGGAGAGCCUUUUGGUUUUGGUGCUUUCCCUGGUCCUGCACGGAUGGGAGAAUUGCCUGGGCCCGGGAAUUUCUUUCAUUCACGACUUGGUGAGCCAGGAUUUAGGAGCGGCUUUUCCCACAAGGGAAUUCCUGGUGAUGGUGGAAACUAUCCAGGUGACUUGGAAUCUUUUGAUGGUUCAAGAAGGAGAAAGGCAUCUAGCAUGGGAUGGUGUCGUAUUUGUAAAGUUGACUGUGAAAGUGUUGAAGGCUUAGACAUACAUUCACAGACGAGGGACCAUCAAAAGAUGGCUAUGGAUAUGGUUGUGACAAUCAAGCAGAAUGCAAAAAAGCAAAAAUUAGCCUCCAGUGAUCAUUCCUCACUUGAUAAUGCAAGCAAGUCAAGGAAUGCCAGUUUUGAGGGCCGUGGGAAUAAGAAUUAAGUUGUGGUAGCAUGUUACAAUGUGAAUCACCUGGGUGCAUUGCUGGCUCAGGGUUGAUUUUUUUGCUUUGAUAUAUUUGAACUUGUUGGCAUAGGUGACUCAACCUUCCUUUGCUUUCUGGGUGGUUUUGCUAGUCUUGUCAUUUCAGGUUGCUGCCCUGUUAAAGGAGAUGUUUUGCAGAGCUGAAGUUCAGUGGCAAUUUUUUCAAUUCGACCUGUCUUUUUACGGCCGAAGCAAACAACAAAAAGACAGAAAGUUCGGCGGAAAGGUUUACUCAGUCAUCUUUUUUAGAUGUGGCAAGAUUAUGUUCAAUGUACAAAUGUAAGUCUAUUCUUUGCUCAUUGGCAUUGAUGUUCUUGAAUUUACUAUGUCAACAUUGGAAAUUUUUUGAAUAGGUUACUGUUUUUUAGGAUAAAGUAUUCUGUAGUUGAAACUAUAUUGGGAUGGUCUUUGCGAUGCGACUGUUGGAAAACUUGAGAGGCUUAGAGAACUCUUUGUGAUGGUUGGAAACUUGAGAGGCUUAGAGAAUUCUUUUUGAUUGUUGGAAACUUGAGAGGCUUAGGGAACUUGAGGCUUUGUUUAGUUGUGGAAAAAUAGAAGAUGAUGAAAUCAAAUUUCUAAAUUUUCUAAUUUUAAACUAACUGGUGGAUAACAAGUUUAGAUAGUUUUCCAUUAUUUCUUUACAAAAGUAGGAGGCUCUGCUAAGGUAGAAAACACGGUGUUUUCCACUUGUUAUAUAUUUUUGGUGUCUUGUUGCUAAUAUCGAAUUCCAAUAAUCACUACACACCUACCUAGAUGCUAUUUCAUAGUUUCUUUACAGAUUUUUUUAAAAUAUAAAUUUUAUAUCAAUUUUGAAAUGUUAAAAUAAAUUGUUUGUUUAAAAAAAUUACAAUAAAUUAUUGCUAUAAUAAUUAUCAUGGUAGUUAUAUUAUUUUCUUCUAUUUUUUUCUUUCAAAUCGAUGUAUAAUAUUAAAUUACCUACUAUCUUCCAAAUCUGUAGCUUUACCAACUGAAUGUGUAUUUCUAAACUUAUCACUUGCUGAUAGGUUCAAUGAACGUUAUUUUAUUUUUUAAUUUUCUUAAAUUUGUUUUAUAAUAAUAUAUAUUAAUGCUUCAAAAAAUAAAUGUUAAAAAUAUUUAAAUUUCAGAUAUUAGACUCAUUAACUUUUUUUUACUAAACAUUCUUCAUAAUUUCAUUUAUUUUUCAAAUGAAAAAUUUACUUAAUUUAUAGAUUUAAUUCAAUUUUGAAAUAUUAGACUAAAAUAGUGUAAUAAUUCUCAUGAUAACUCUUAGAUUUAAAAUAUAUUUUAAAUUAAAAAAAAUAUAUUCAAUUAAUUAACUUGUGAAACUAUUUUUAUAGUUAUCAUAUUCAACAAUGACUUUUAUUAAUCCAAUAAAACCAAUUUAGUUAAAAAAUGUGAAAAAUAGUCUUAUAAAGGAAAGAUGGAAAAUGGAGAAGCGAAAAAGUGAACAUGUUUUCUUAUUUUCCAGUUUUCCAAUUGGAAAAAUAGGAAAAGGAGCAGAAAACUGGAAAAAGAAAACUAGAAAAACAUUUUUUGAAACUAAACAGGGGCUAAAACUCUCCUUUAGAAAAGUACCCCUUUCUUUUGCUAUGACUUGAAUUUGGGGUGCCAAUUUGUAUAUUACUUAUCAUUUGCUUGACAGACUUCAGCUCCUUUUUUCCUUAUCUCUUCUUAAUAAGCAAUCAGACUUCUUAGGAUGAUUUUUAUCAUUCAGAUUAACUUUUGCAUUGUUUUACCUUUUUUAUGACUUGAGAAAUUCAAAUAAUUUGCCAAACUGGAAGUGAGUGUACUAGUCUAAGGGAAUUCCUGAAGGAAAGGGCUAACCUUAACAUAUUUAUGGAAAUUUAAUAGUGCUACAAAAUUGUGGAGUUAAGCAUGAACAAUUAACUUGCAUAUAUGCCUUCAAAUUUUUUAGGUUUUAUAUGGCUGCAAUUUUUUAUUUUUUUUAUUUUUUCAGUUGGGUACUUAUAAAUUGAAAAACUUAGUUCUCUAGAUAAAGCUUUAACUAUUAAGCACUAGAGUGUGUUUUAAGUAUUGUGUAUAGGGAGGAUGGGAAUUAUGGCAUUGUGGAGCCUAGUUUUUGGGAUUUAUUAGAUACCCCUACAGAUUUGGUCAGGCUGGUGUCAAACAAAGAUUGUCUUGGUCAGCAAAAAAAGAUAUUUAGUCCAACUAGGCUGUCUCCUCUAUAUUAUAUGAUGAAAUAUGCAUCAUCAUGCAAUGUAUUUUUUUUUUCAGUAAAAAUGGUUGGUUAUUAGAUAGAGAAAAUGUUUUCAAUGAUAAAUUAUUGGGGCCUUAAAAAUGAUCAUGAAUGUUCUGAAGCUACUUGUGUGUUCUACUCCAGUGCUUAGAUGACUUCCUUACAAUUUUAGGUUCAUACAGUAUCUCUGAGAAUCAACAUCAUCUUUGGUCCUUUACCAGCUCUGUGAUAAUUUACUACUACUUUGUCGUUGUCGGGAUGUGUGAUAAUCAUGAUUUUGCAAUAUAUAAACCUGAAUAAAGGACACUAUGUAGCCCUUUUAGAUGGGUACCUUUUUGUCAGACACAUAUGAAUUUUGUGAAACAUUUGAUAGAAAAAGGACAUCAAAAUGUUGUAUUACCAAACUAUCUGGUAUGUGAAUUUGAAUUGGCUGUCAAAAUCAGUAAUUACAAUAAUAUUUGUGUUAUUGAAUGGAAUUGUAUUAUCAAUUAUAAAUGAAUUUGGUUUGGUCAUAUUAAUUUCUAAUCUUAAUGUUGUUGUAUUAUUGGGUAGAAUAUAGGCCCCGUUAACUAAAGUUGACAUAACAAUUGUAAUUUUUAAUUUGUAUCAUACUUGUGUAUACACACAUAUAGAAAUGAUUACUUCAAUUGUCAAGAGAAUAAUUGUACAUUUUUCUUAAAGAACUAAUACAAAAUAAAAGUUUAUAUGACAUAGAAAUAUAAGUUGCAAGGGUGAAAAAGUUUGAAAAUCUAUUUGAAAUAUAAUUUACAUUGUCAUCAAGGUAUAACAAAAAAAAAAAAAAAACUAUAUGCAUAUAUAGAAAAUUUAAGAUUGUCCAUAAAAAAUUGACUUGUUGCUUACAGCCAAAUUCAAAUCUUCAAUAAGUUUUGCUGUGAUUAUUUAUCAUUUAAUGAAAAAAAAAAAAAAAGACUGGAAUUGGUUUUAAGCAUAUAUUAAAGAGAAAAUAAUGUGAAAUUCAUUACUAAUAAGAGAUCCUUUUUGUGAGUGCAAAAUAAUAAUUUGUUGUGGUAUUUUUUUUAUAAACAGUACAUUAUUAUUUUUUUAAAAAAAAUAAAAUUUUAGGUUUGAAAUUAUUGCUAAGUGAGUAUUUUGUAUAACAUACAUUUGCAGAUAAAAAGUUUAGUAAUCAAUUUUUUUAUGACAAACAUGGGUAGUCACCUAUUAUUAACAUACAUCAUGUUUUUUUUGGCUAUUAUUCUAUUCUUUUAUUGUUACAAGGUAAAAAAAAUUUUCCAGCAGAUAAAAGUUUCUGACUGAUAAUAAAAAUAACAUGUGAUAUUUGUAUUCCCUCCACCCCAUUCCAACUGAUGUUUUAAAAUUUUUGUGUAUCCAACUUUAUUUGCCGUUUUAGAAAAUUAAUGAUGCAUUAAUUAUUUUUUUAAACUUUAUCAUUGUCUGUUGUUAUCCUCAAUGCAUUUAUCUCUUCCUUGUCGCUUUUUUUUUUUCAUUUUAAUUAAAUAUUAGCAUAUUUUGGUAAAUUAUUAAUAUUUUUUUUUUAUAAAAUGAGAAUAUCUAAUCAUUUUCUUAAUCCUUUUGCAAAAACCUUAAAAAGCAUUGAAAUUGGAAGCAGGGAGUACUGGUUUGCCACGAGUUUCAAGUUUUAAAGCUUGUUUGGUUCCAUUCCAUUCCACAAUUUUGUGGAAUUUAAUUGAAUUCCAUGUUUUGUGUGUUUGGUCUGAAAAAAAAAAAAAUCCAAGAAUUCAACAUUAGGAAUUGGUUAUAAUUAAAAUUAAUUCUUAUCGAAUUUGAUGGAAUUUGAAAUGAAUUCCACAAAACUUACAUAACAUUUUUUUGACUAAAAUUCCCUUAUCAAAAAAAUUAUCCUGUCAUUUAUCUUUUUAUAUUCUCACAUGCCAAAAUUAUUCGCUUUUGAACUUUAAUUACUAAUGUGAUCAAUAGAAUUUACAACAUCCAAUAAGUACCAAUAAUUGAUUAAAAAAUUAAAAGUGCUCUGACCAUUACUAAAUAAGAAAAUGGAAACUACAAACAAACUCUCUAUCUAUUUUCUAUUAAUAUGUUUGGACAACUAUAUAAGGUAUUUUAAUUUUGUCUCAACUUUUUAAUAUCUAAGCUUACUAUACACUUAGUAAUGACACUAUUUAUGUUAUAUAAUCUCUUAUAUGAUGAGGCAUGUUAAUUUAUUUUAUAUUUAGUACCAUAUUAUUUGUUGGUUUAUAUAUUUGUUAAUUGUUAUAAAUUUAUUUGUACUUUUUUUUUUGAAUUCUGUAGAAAAUUAAUUUUAUAAUUUACUGUUGAGGGUAAUUUUGGAAAUGAGGACAAAUGAAUUUCAAUUCUAGAAUUAUGUCAAACAUGAAUUAUAUGGAAUUUAAUUGAAUUUUGUAUUUUAAGUUGUCGUGCAAAACAGUGUAAUGCAUUUGAAAUGAAUUCUAGCUAGAUUUAAUUUCAAAUGAAUUCCAAAGUUUGUUUAGAAUCGAACCAAACACUUGAUUAGUGAAUUUUUUUUUUAAUCCUGUAUUUGUUAUUUAUUUUUUGGGAUUGUUAAUUUUAUUAUUGACACUUGCUUUUUCUAUCAUAUGUGAUAGUAUUAGGUAAGCAUGCAUCAUUUUAUUGGAUCUGAUAAAACAUUGUUGAAGGAAAGAUAACUAUAAUGACUAAUAAGGAGAAUAAGGGGCUGUGAUUGUAUGUGAAAGUAAUAGAAUAAUUAGGGUGGUCUGUGGUAGUUAGUUGAAGAACUGAAAGUUGUUAAAAGGUUGUAAUUGGCGGAAAUAGUUAUGGGAAGGGCUGAUCGCUUAUAAAUAGUAGCUAUUGUAACUGAAGAAGAUUAUUUUGGAAAAAUAUCAAGAAACUAUUCAAUUUCUCUCUCAUUCUCUCUAUUCUCUUAUCCCUAAAACUCUAUUUCUAUUAUUUCUUCUGCUUGAGAUCCUGUUAUUGGGGAUUUUGCUACAUAACAAUAACAUUUGAAAAUAAUUUAAAAUUGAUAUACCUAUAAUAUAAUGUUAAUGAUGGCAAUACCUGUGGAUAUGUAAUUAUCAAUAUUGAACCAGUAUUUAAAACAAAAGAAGAAAUGAAAAAGUGGAAAAUUUAAAUAGAAAGCAUCAUUUUUUAUGGGCAAGGUUAUAUGCUAGUGAGAGUGAAUAUUGAUUGCUUUUGAUAUGGACUUUUAGUUGAAUUUUGCCAUAUGAUUGUCUUAAGAUUUCUCAUGCUUCAUGAACUGCUUUGUCAUCUCUUCGUAUUGCAAAAACUUGAAGCUAUGGGCAGCCUUUUUUGAAUGAUGGAUGCAAAUUCUGGAGUUGAUGCCCUGCUUGUUCAUUCUAUCUUGUCCAGUCAGCAGGUUCUGUAUUGAGCAUGAUUUAGCGAUAAAGGACUGUAGCCAAAUCAUGCAUUUUCUAUAUAUGACAAAUAAAGGGCUGAAAUAAUGUGUGGUUGAUGGCCUGGGAAUAGAAUGUGCCUUCCAUCAAAUAAUGGUUUGCCACAAUUCUUUAGGGACAAGAGAAGUUUAGGAUGCGAGGCACAAGAAGCAAGAAGGGAAGUACGUGCAUACAUACAAUCAUUACUUUUAUUAGGCGUGUUGGGUCACCUAAUCGUAACACUUAACAUGUUUAGUAUAAUUUAUGAUAAAUCACCAAAACCCACAUGAAAUUUUGCAUAAUGUACACUUUUAUCUCUUAUUUUUUUAAAAUUUAAUUACUUCAGUUCUUAAGGUUUGUUAAUGGCUUUAAAACUUAGUCCUUGAUUACAAUCCUAAAAUAAGCAUUACGCUUUAGUCUUCCGUAUUUUAAUUUGAGAUUAUGCCCUGCACCAUCGUCUUGUUCUGUCUAGUUUAGUUUAAUUUUUGUAGUGUAUUUUUUAUUUACUCGUCUCCUGUUCAAAUCCCAUUGAUUAAUGUUUAAGACUAUUGAGCAAGCUAAGAGGUUAUGAGAAAUUUUCAGAACAUUAAUUUUCCUUUUUUUAAUAAAAGAAAAAAAAAUUAUAACCGAAAAAAUACCAAUAAAUGUAGUCACUAGAAUAUUCUCUAAAACAGUUGCAUUUAAUCCAUAGUACAUGUCAAAAUUGUAAACAACCCUUGUGGCCUAAUAUAGAUAUAAAUUCCUAUUGGUAGUGUCUUACUAGAAAAUUUCUCCAUUGUCUUCAUAUGUUCCUAAUAGUAAAUAUACUAGUAUAAUAUAUUUCACCUUUUCUAUUUUUUAUCGCAGGUUAAAAGAUUUUAUACCUUUUAAUUAAUAUUUGUUAGGAAAAAAAAAAUCUUAUGAUACAAUUUUUAGAUAAUUUGGAAAAAAUUUAAUCAAAUUAUAAAUUGAAUGUAAAAAUAUUCUUGUUUCAUAAAUAAAUACUUUAAUCACAUAAAUUUAUAAUACAAAUUUUUUAAUUGAUAUAAACUAAUAAUAAUAGUAUUGUCAUUAAAAAUUACGAAUUAUAGUAUUGCAAAAUUUAUUUUUCAAAUCAAAUAUUAUAUAUAAAGUAUUACACAAUCAAUGUUAUAAACUCUACAAUAUUAUAAAAUUUUUGUUUUUUUUUUUCCCUCCGGCUUGGUUGAACCUUUCGAUUCCAACCGUUGAUUUUUUUUUGUUUUUUCGUAAUAUCUAAUUUUGAGAUUUAUCACAUUUUAUUUGUUUUUAAUUAUUAAAUGAUUAUAUUUGCCUCAAUUAUUAUAAAUUAUCUCCCAGAAAAAAAGAUUGUAUAUACAAAGCAAAAGGAUCACACUAUAAUUGAGGCAUAUUUUUUUUUUUUUUUUAUCUAGAAAUUAUUCCUGAACAUUCAUUUUAGCCUAUUAAUUUAUCGUCAUAGAAUUAUAAUUUUUGUGUGGAUAUAUUAUAUUUUGUGUGGUUAGGAAAUGAAUAUAAUUAAAUAAAUUUUGCAAUAUAUUGUAAAUAAUAAUUUUAUUUAAUAUAUAUAUAUAUAUAUAUAUUCAUUUAUUAAUAAUUUUAUAAAAUUUUUGAUGACAAAAAAGUUAUAUUCAACAUUGGGCGGGUAUUGUAACUUGUAAUAAUUCAAAGUCUACGAGUAUUUCUAAAUAUAUUAAUUUAAAAACUAAACACGCGCACGAACAUUUUCGCCGAUGCACAAGUUUGAAGGUAGCUUACGCAAGGAGCAAACAUGAAGACUGGUGGUUUUUACCUGUUUUAUUUUCUAAUCUUUUUAAUUUUGUCAACCUGAUUUUUGUAAUUUUAUCCAAUUGGUUAAAAUUAAAUGGCCAUAAUUGAUUUUUACUUUUCUUUUUUUUUUUUCUGAUUUAAAUUCAAAAAAUUUUAAGAAUAUGUAUUUUAUUUUAUUCCAUCCUAAAACACCAUCUCUUCCCCCACCCAUACAUCUGAAACUCUCCAUUCUCUCAUCAAACAAAAAGUAAUAUCACUCUUUCUAGCUCUUUCUCAUAAAUUCAUCAUCUCUAACAACAAUUAACAUUAAUUUUUUGUUUGUUUUCCAUUUUAAUUGAAAGAUGCCCAUCCCUUAGAAAUCCCAUUAGAUGUAGGGCCCCAAUAGAAAGAAAGAAUUGUGCUAUAAACAGGUAACAGCAAAACACAAAACUUUGACAGCCAUCACCUGCUUCUCAAGCUUUGGCAAAGAGGAUUGUGUCUUGGAGAUCCAACUACAAGAAGACAAGUCGUCUGAUAUAAUAUUUGAUUUUUUUUUUUUUGCCUCUAUUUUUUUUUUUUUGUAAUUUGACAUAGAUGGCAUCUUCUCUACUAUGGGGAGCAUUUUUUUUAAGGUACAAUUGUGUUGAAGCAGCUAUUUUAUUGCUUGUGAUUUGUAUAUGCUUCAUUUUAAGAGCAAACAGUGCUUCAAGUGUUUAUGUAAAGGAACAGAACCUUGGAACUUGGA